AUUGAACGCUGGCGGCAGGCCUAACACAUGCAAGUCGAACGAGUGGCGGACGGGUGAGUAAUGUCUGGGAAACUGCCCGAUGGAGGGGGAUAACUACUGGAAACCGUAGCUAAUACCGCAUACCAUCGGAUGUGCCCAGAUGGGGUUAGCUAGUAGGUGGGGUAACGGCUAACCUAGGCGACGAUCCCUAGCUGGUCUGAGAGGAUGACCAGACACACGGGAACGGAGAGACGGUGCAGCCUCGUACGGGAGGCAGCAGUGGGGAAUAUUGCACAAUGGGCGAAAGCCUGAUGCAGCCAUGCCGCUUGUAUGAAGAAGGCUUUCGGGUUGUAAAGUACUUUCAGCGAGGAGGCGUUACCCAAAGAAGAAGCACCGGCUAACUCCGUGCCAGCAGCCGCGGUAAUAC
rnacentral:rRNA from 1 species